rnacentral:rRNA from 1 species
CAGUCGCCACGGUAAUACGAAGGUGGCUAGCGUUGCUCGGAAUGACUGGGCGUAAAGGGCGCGUAGGCGGCGGCCAAAGUCAGGCGUGAAAUUCCCGGGCUCAACCUGGGGGCUGCGUUUGAUACUUGGUUGCUUGAGUGGGGAAGAGGGUCGUGGAAUUCCCAGUGUAGCGGUGAAAUGCGUAGAUAUCGGAAGGAACACCAGUGGCGAAGGCGGCUACCUGGACUGACACUGACACUGAGGCGCGAAAGCGUGGGGAGCAAACAGGAUUAGAUACCCGCGUAGUCCCUGUCUCUUAUAC